GGGUGAGUAAUGCCUAGGAAUCUGCCUGGUAGUGGGGGAUAACGUUCGGAAACGAACGCUAAUACCGCAUACGUCCUACGGGAGAAAGCAGGGGACCUUCGGGCCUUGCGCUAUCAGAUGAGCCUAGGUCGGAUUAGCUAGUUGGUGAGGUAAUGGCUCACCAAGGCGACGAUCCGUAACUGGUCUGAGAGGAUGAUCAGUCACACUGGAACUGAGACACGGUCCAGACUCCUACGGGAGGCAGCAGUGGGGAAUAUUGGACAAUGGGCGAAAGCCUGAUCCAGCCAUGCCGCGUGUGUGAAGAAGGUCUUCGGAUUGUAAAGCACUUUAAGUUGGGAGGAAGGGCAGUUACCUAAUACGUAAUUGUUUUGACGUUACCGACAGAAUAAGCACCGGCUAACUCUGUGCCAGCAGCCGCGGUAAUACAGAGGGUGCAAGCGUUAAUCGGAAUUACUGGGCGUAAAGCGCGCGUAGGUGGUUUGUUAAGUUGAAUGUGAAAUCCCCGGGCUCAACCUGGGAACUGCAU
rnacentral:rRNA from 2 species